UUCGAUGAAAAACAUCCUAAGGAGCAUAGAGCUAGAAGCUCAUUCUUUAACUGGUGGUAUUUUACUAUGGUUGCAGGUGCCUCGGCAACACUUUUAAUCUUGAGUUAUAUACAAGAUAACUAUAGUUGGGUUCUUGGAUUUGGAAUACCUUGUGUUGUAAUGAUCAUUGCUUUGAUUGUUUUCUUGCUUGGAACAAUGACCUAUAGGUUUAACAUUAAGGAUAAUGACAAUUGUCCUUUUCUUAGAAUUGGUCGAGUAUUUGUUGCGGCUGUAAGAAAUUGGCGAAAUACCUUAUCAACGACGGAUAUUGAAGAGGAACAUGAUGGACUACGUCGCCGCCAUCAAAGUUCUGAACAAUUCAAGUAAGAAUAACAAUACUAAUUUUUGUUUGUUUUUCAAUAUUAUGUCUAGUAAGUUAUUCUUAAAGCAGCAAAUAUGAUGAAAUACAUUAUAGGACUCAUGUUGAAUUCGUCUUUGUGGUUUUACAAAAUGCAUUCUAUGAAACAUAUUAUAGUAACGGUUACGCUAUAACAAUCAAUUCUAGCAUUGAACUUAAUUCUCAUUGUUGAUUAUUGUGGGUGCCAUCUCGAAGGAAUUUACAGUAUAUAUUAGAUAUGAAAGUUUCUCAUCGACUAUAUAAGUCUUAUGUUUCCCUUUGAUCUAGCAUUUAUUUCAUUAUCAAUAUAAUUUGCAUUUUAUUUUCCUCUUAUCAAUAGCUUUUGCCAAGAAUAUAAUAAUAUGGUAUCAUAGCCAGGUUACAACCAAUAUGGUUUACACAUUUUCUCUCUUUUUUUAUUAUUCAUUUGGGAAAUGGAGAGAUAGAUUAGAAUGUGUUGAAAUGAGUUUUUCUUGUUAUAUUUGUUGAAGUUGUUUGUAGUUUGUUGUUAGUCCCACAUUACUCAGGUUCUCGGACUGUUGAGUGUAUAAAUAUGUUUGAGUACCCUCAUCCUUGAGGUAAUUGUUGGGAUAUGAUCUAAGCCUAUUUAAGAAUAACAGUUAUCUAAUUAAAGGUUCAUCCUAGACAAAGCUUUGAAAGAUUGUGUCAUGUUUGGAUAGACAGCUUAAUUAAGCACGUAUAGUAUAAGAGUUUAUCAUUUAAGUGAUAAUGUACAAGUGAUUUCUAUAACAAAAGAUGAAAUAAAGUCAAACUAUUUUGACUUGGCUUGUAUUUUCUACAUUUGCAGCUUCCUCAACAAGGCAUUGCAAACACCAAAGGGAUCCAAAGACGAAGAUAAGUGUAGCCUUGUUGAGGUCGAAGAAGCAAAGGCAGUACUAAGGUUGAUUCCAAUUUGGGCUUCGACUUUAGUUUAUGGUAUUAUCUUUGCUCAAAUAUUUACAUUCUUCACCAAGCAAGGGAGUUCUAUGGAGAGAACAAUAUUUCCUGGUUUCAACAUACCUCCCGCUUCUCUUGGAAUGAUAGGCGGUGUUGCAAUUGUUCUCUUCAGCCCUAUCUACGACCGUUUAUUCGUGCCACUAGCAAGGAAUAUAACUGGAAAACCCUCAGGUAUCACAAUGCUUCAAAGAAUUGGCACUGGAAUUUUUCUAUCUAUAUUCACAGUAGUGGUUGCAGCCUUUGUUGAGAUGAAAAGACUAAAGAUAGCACAAGAGCAUGGUCUUGUUGAUGAUCCAAAUGCAACUGUUCCAAUGAGUAUAUGGUGGUUGGUUCCUCAAUACUUUUUGUUUGGAGUAUCUGAGGUUUUUACUAUUGUUGGUGUUCAGGAAUUUUUCUAUGAUCAAGUCCCAAAUGAACUAAGAAGCAUGGGACUUGCACUCUAUUUGAGUAUUAUUGGUGUUGGAAGCUUUCUAAGUNUUUUUUACCACAUAAUAUUUUAAACGUUUUACCACAUGUUAGUAUUGGCAAAAGUUAUGGUGCAUAAACCAUUUCCUUAUGCACCGUGCAUAAACACAUCACAACCAUCAGAUUUCUUUCAUUUUGAACAAAAAUGGUUUUGGCUCACUUUUGGGGUGUAGGAAGCAAUUAUGUUGGGAUUUAUGCACGGUGCAUAAGGAUUUCCUUAUGCACCAUAACCACUCCCGUUAGUAUUGUAGAAUUAUCUCCUUAACAAAAGUAUUGUAGCAUUAUCACUCUAUAACUAUAAAAGUUACUCAGACCGAAAGAUUUAAGUUACGCAAGGGUAUUUUUGUCUUUUCAGUUGGGAGUGAGAAAUAUUUGUUGCAAGAAGAGCAAUUUUCUUAGGAAUAUGUAACAUGCAUAGAGAAGAGUGUUUUUUUUUUCAUCUGAUAAGAUGAACAAUUCCAGAUAUUUGUACUUUAAUGGCAUCCCCUCCAUCCAUGGAACAUCCCAAAGUAUCUAACGUAAUUUCUUCUCCAUUUCCAAUCUCUCUUCUUAGACUUUUCGAAGACCAAUUCGACGUAACUCCCCACACCACUAUCUCUAAAGUAUCUACAUCUUUCCUUCAUGCUGCACAAAAUCUCCCAUAUUAAUGCGGAUAUUUACUCACCAAAACUCUAAACCUCAAACUGUUUUUUCCGGUAAGAAUUCGCCAUUCCCAUUUUCCCAUAAGUGAUACAAUAAAUGUAUUAGAAUGAAGCCACCCUCAUCGUUUUCUCGACACACUUUUUCUCAAUGUAUCAAAUUAUUUUUAAAUUUUAAAAAAGCACUAUAUUAGAAUGAACCCACCCUCAUCUUUUUCUCGACACACUUUGUCUCAAUGUAUCAAAUUAUUUUUAAAUUUAAAAAAAGCAAUUAAAGUUUAUAAACUAUUAUCAUCAGUGUUAUCUAUCCGAUGUGGAACUUAGGUUUUUCCCAAUACAAUCCCUCACACCCAACACUCUCUUUGGGCUUGGUGCGUGGAUAGGUAGAUGACUCUUGAAUUCGACAAACUCUGAUAUCAUGUUAGAAAUCGUGGUUAAGCCUAACAAAAUCGGUUUCCACAUUCCUUCUCUCGCAGGAUCUCCCCCAAUUGGUAGAACCAAAUAUUUAAGGCUUAAUAGCAGUUUUGCCCUCCUAAAUAUCAGAAAGUUGCGAUUUUGCCCCCUGACAAAAUAAAAUACAAUCGAGCCCUCUACGUGUGUAAUUAUGUUAAUUUUAUUUAUUAUAAAAAAUAAUUUAAUUAUUAAAAAAAUAAUUUUUUUUUUAUUUUUCUAAUUAAAAAAAAAAUUACACAACGUCCACUUCAGCAUUGAUUUGGUCAAAAUUGACCUGAGGGACCAAAACUGCAAAAGGGAUGGUUCUUAGGGGGCUGGAUUGUAUUUUAUUUUGUUAGGAAGCCAAAAUCGUAACUUGCUGAUACAUUAGGCCAAAACUGCUAUUAAGCCAAUAUUUAAAUGACAAACUACCAACUUUGAAAUUUAUCACACAUGUUGCCUCUACUUUCGAUGUAUGAUGUAUAUUUACACCCAUUAGAACGUUUUUACGAAAGUUUCCCAUCAAUCUAGACACUAAUUCAAACACUUGCAAAAUUGCCUUAUAAUCACCUGUUUUUCCAACUUUUCUUCACCACAAUCUUUGUGUCGUUGCAAUGUUGUAAGUGUGGUAUAGUCACUUCAUCUAUACCAAACUGGAUAACGGCUAUCCUUGUCUGAUUCCCCUUCUCGCCGGAAACUCUUUUGCAAGUCUUCCAUUCAUCAAAACAGACAUGGAAGUAGUGGGAAGACAUUCAGAUAUCCAAAACCAGUCACAAGUUAUCAUUGACUCAUUGUUUUAAUGAAUUGCAGGGACUAGGCUUGUUAACGUUGUCGGCUAUGCUGCCUUCCAUCACAUUUUGUUCUCCUCAGUCACAAGUUAUCUUAUUCUUCAUCUCACUCUAUCUAAUUGCCAUUGGACAAGGUGGACAUAAACCUUGUGUUCAAGCUUUCGGGGCGGAUCAAUUUGACGAAAAACAUCCUAAGGAACAUAGAGCUAGAAGCUCAUUCUUUAAUUGGUGGUAUUUUACAAUGGUUGCAGGUGCCUCGGCAACACUUUUAAUCUUGAGUUAUAUACAAGAUAACUAUAGUUGGGUUGUUGGAUUUGGAAUACCUUGUGUUGUUAUGAUCAUUGCUUUGAUUGUUUUCUUGAUUGGAACUAUCACAUAUAGGUUUAACAUCAAUGAUAAUAACAAGAGUCCCUUUCUUAGAAUUGGUCGUGUAUUCGUCGUGGCUGCAAGAAAUUGGAAAAAUACCUUAUCAACAACGGAUAUUGAAGAGGAACAUGAUGGACUACUUCGCCGCCAUCAAAGUUCUGAACAAGUCAAGUAAGAAUAACAAUGCUAAUUUCUGUUUGUUUUUCAAUUCUAUAUCUAGCAAGUGAUUCUUAAAGCAGCAAAUAUGAUGAAAUACUUAAUUAUAGGACUCAUGUUGAAUUCGUCUUUGGAGUUUUAUGAAAUGCAUUCUAUGAAACAUAUUAUAGUAACGGUUACACUGUAGUAAUCAAUUCGAGCAUUGAACUUAAUUCUCAUUGUUGAUUAUUGUGGUUGCCAUCUCGAAGCAUCUCGAAGCAAUUUACGGUAUAUAUAAGAUAUAAAAGUUAGUUAUACUGACAAGUUAGUUACACCAGUUUUUCAUUAUCAAUAUAAUUUGCAUUUUACUUUCGUC
rnacentral:lncRNA from 1 species